rnacentral:rRNA from 1 species
GAUGAACGCUGGCGGCGUGCCUAAUACAUGCAAGUCGAGCGAACGGACGAGAAGCUUGCUUCUCUGAUGUUAGCGGCGGACGGGUGAGUAACACGUGGAUAACCUACCUAUAAGACUGGGAUAACUUCGGGAAACCGGAGCUAAUACCGGAUGAUAUUUUGAACCGCAUGGUUCAAAAGUGAAAGACGGUCUUGCUGUCACUUAUAGAUGGAUCCGCGCUGCAUUAGCUAGUUGGUAAGGUAACGGCUUACCAAGGCAACGAUGCAUAGCCGACCUGAGAGGGUGAUCGGCCACACUGGAACUGAGACACGAUCCAGACUCCUACGGGAGGCAGCAGUAGGGAAUCUUCCGCAAUGGGCGAAAGCCUGACGGAGCAACGCCGCGUGAGUGAUGAAGGUCCUCGGAUCGUAAAACUCUGUUAUUAGGGAAGAACAUAUGUGUAAGUAACUGUGCACAUCUUGACGGUACCUAAUCAGAAAGCCACGGCUAACUACGUG